rnacentral:rRNA from 1 species
AGCGAACGCUGGCGGCAGUCCUAACACAUGCAAGUUGAACGAAGCCUUCGGGCUUAGUGGCGGACGGGUGAGUAACACGUGGGAACGUACCUUUUGGUUCGGAAUAACGCAGAGAAAUUUGCGCUAAUACCGAAUGAGCCCUUAGGGGGAAAGAUUUGUCGCCGAAAGAUCGGCCCGCGUUGGAUUAGGUAGUUGGGGUGGUAAAGGCGCACCAAGCCUACUAUCCAUAGCUGGUCUGAGAGGUUGAUCAGCCACACUGGGACUGAGACGCGGCCCAGACUCCUACGGGAGGCGGCAGUGGGGAAUCUUGCGCAAUGGGCGAAAGCCUGACGCAGCCAUGCCGCGUGAAUGAUGAAGGUCUUAGGAUUGUAAAAUUCUUUUACCAGGGACGAUAAUGACGGUACCUGGAGAAAAAGCCCCGGCUAACUUCGUGCCAGCCGCCGCAGUAAUAC